rnacentral:rRNA from 1 species
UACGGAGGAUGCGAGCGUUAUCCGGAUUUAUUGGGUUUAAAGGGUGCGUAGGCGGAUCGUUAAGUCAGUGGUCAAAUUGAGGGGCUCAACCCCUUCCCGCCAUUGAAACUGGCGAUCUUGAGUGGAAGAGAAGUAUGCGGAAUGCGUGGUGUAGCGGUGAAAUGCAUUGAUAUCACGCAGAACCCCGAUUGCGAAGGCAGCAUGCCGGCUUCCGACUGACGCUGAAGCACGAAAGCGUGGGGAUCGAACAGG